AAACAGAUAGGUUUGGUCCUAGCCUUUUUACUAGCUCUUAGUAAGAUUACAUAUGCAAACAUCCCUGCCCCAGUGAAAAUGCCCUCUAGGUCACCCGGAUCAAAAGUAGCACGUAUGGAGCACGCAUGAAUACAGCUCAAAACAACUUUGCUCAACCGCACACCCACGGGAAACGGCAGUGAUAAAUCUUCAGUACUAAACGAAAAUUUAAGCUAUACUAAUAUUUAGGGUUGGUCAAUUCCGUGCCAGCCACCAUGGCCAUAUGAUUAACCUGAGCUCAGAGAACGCAGCAUAAAGAGUGUUUAACAUCUACCCUCACUAAAGCUAAACUCCAACUAAGUUGUAAAAAGCUCCAACUGAAAUAAAAUAAUACGAAAAUAGCUUUAAUACCCUGAAGACACAAUAGCUAAGACCGAAACUGGGGUUAGAUACCCCACUAUACUUAGCCCUAAACUCUAAUAGUUACAUUAACAAAACCAUUCACCAGAGUACUACGAGCAACAGCUUAAAACUCAAAGGAUUUGGUGGUGCUUUAUAUCCGUCUAGAGGAGCCUGUUCUACAAUCAAUAAACCCCGAUACGGCUCACCACCUCUUGUCCCCAGCCUAUAUACUGCCAUCUUCGGCAAACCCUAAAAAAGUUACAGAGUAAGCACAAGCACACACAUAAAAACAUUAGGUCAAGGUAUAGCCUAUGAGGUGGCAAGAAAUGGGCUACAUUUUCUACAUUCAGAAAAUCUCACAACAACCUUUAUGAAAUAUAAGGGCUCAAGGAGGAUUUAGUAGUAAACCAAGAGCAGAGUGCUUGAUUGAAUAUGGCCAUGAAGCAUGAACACACUGCCUGUCACCCUCCUCAAAUAUUACUCUAGAAAUCACUACUACUAAAAACUUUCUAUGCACAUAUAGAGAAGAUAAGUUGUAACGUGAUAAGUGUACUGGAAAGUGCUCUUGGGCAAACCAAAGU
rfam:Macaca mulatta chromosome 5, whole genome shotgun sequence.